AACGAACGCUGGCGGCAGGCUUAACACAUGCAAGUCGAACGCACCUUUCGGGGUGAGUGGCAGACGGGUGAGUAACGCGUGGGAAUCUACCCUUCUCUACGGGAUAGCUCCGGGAAACUGGAAUUAAUACCGUAUACGUCCUGAGGGAGAAAGAUUUAUCGGGGAAGGAUGAGCCCGCGUUGGAUUAGCUAGUUGGUGGGGUAAAGGCCUACCAAGGCGACGAUCCAUAGCUGGUCUAAGAGGAUGAUCAGCCACAUUGGGACUGAGACACGGCCCAAACUCCUACGGGAGGCAGCAGAGGGGAAUAUUGGACAAUGGGCGCAAGCCUGAUCCAGCCAUGCCGCGUGAGUGAUGAAGGCCCUAGGGUUGUAAAGCUCUUUCAGUGGGGACGAUAAUGACGGUACCCACAGAAGAAGCCCCGGCUAACUUCGUG
rnacentral:rRNA from 1 species